rnacentral:lncRNA from 1 species
AUUGAUUUGUAGUUUAAUAUCAUUAUCCAUGAAAGAACAUUCAAAAGAGAAAAUAAUUUAAUAUUGUGACUUAGUUUAAUUCUUAUUUUAUGUAUAAAUGUUCCUACUAAAAUUUGUGAGAAUUUGAUUUUGGUUAGUCUCAUUAACCUCAAUUUGUUUAUUCAAUAAAUGUAUUAAAUGCCCACUGUAGAGUAAAAUGUUACAUUAAUGAGUUUAAAAGUUUAAUAAAUGAUAUAUGUUUUAAUAUAUGUAAAAGUUAUAGGCUUAAGACAUAUCAAUAUAUAUCCACUUGCUUAUUGACCUUGAAUUACAUCUUAAUGUUUUACCCUCCUUAAAAAUUUCUAUAAUGAGUGCAAUGACUUGGGAAAAAUCUUUGUAGUUGUUUGAAUUUUUAGUUUCUCGUUAGAGCAUUGUGCACAACUGUAGGGUAAGUUAUAAACACAGGAGCAACCCUCACUCACUUACUUUUAACGUUGUGUGUCACUGAGUAACAAAUGUGUCCAUUCACAGAGAAGUCUCUGGCACUUUUAGUGUGUGGGUUUAAUGUAACAGACAGCGUCCACUCACUCACUCAGCCUUUCUCCUUUCCUAGUGGACUCUCCUCUCCUGGAUUACAUCUUAGUUUUCUUUCUUCCUGAAUAUAUCAAUUCAGGAAUUCAACAUAUCAAUUUAGACAUGUCUGUGGGUGGUCCUCAGGGCUGCACUCUAACUCCCUGACCACUAAUUCUGUUUUAUUUUGUACAGAAAAAAAAAAAUGACUUGAAAGCUGUAUAUACUCCCAUCUGAAGUCUUCAGUAGUAAAAUUACACAUUUGGCUUGGCUGGCAGCACAGCCCCAGGGGCUGCUGAAUAAAGAACACAUAGUCCCUCAGGAUGCUCCAACAACUGUGGCCACUGUCCCUUGCUUUACAGCUGCCUUAAGUGGUCAUUUAAAAGUACCAAGAGUGACUUCUGGUUACAUUUUCUACUCAGUAGAAAAAUAUUAAGCACUACCUAAAUAGCCCAGAAAACAAUGAAAAGUCUACACAGAGACAACCUGUCUCGAAAGAAACAAAAUUAAAAAGAAUGAAAAGUCUGGAUUGAUGGGAAGGUGGUAGAUAGAGGAAGUAAGUCAGUAACGUUAACUCUUCAAAGAAAGGAAAUAAAAGGACCCCCCCCCUCCCUGCCACCGCCACCGCCCCCAGAGGUGCCUUGGGCUCCAGGCAGAAGGGAUGAGGCCCCUGCCCUCCUCACCCAGCUUUGCCUCUCAUUCUGCAGCCUUGGUGCCUCCUACACCACUACCUCUCUUGUUACCACUGCAUGCAGUGUGUUAGGGGUCUGUGGCCAGCUCUAACUCCUAAAUAGAUCCCAAACUCCGAGCUUCGUAACUGCGUGCUAGCUCUCACCUAGUCUGCCUGUCUAACUUCCGCCUUCCUUUUCUCCAGCCAGCUGACACUAUUUACUGUGUAUGGCUGUUGAUUUUCAAAUCUCAAGUCCCUUUGGCGUGGAAUGAACUGUGAUCUUUGCCAGUAGAAGUUUUAUCCAAACUGAGCCGCAGCUGUUCCUGAAGCUCUCCCAAUCAUGGGAGCCUGGAGCAGGCCCUCCCUUGUCUGGACCCCCCAGAGCACCCUGCUCUUGCCCACUGCCUCCGUGGUUCAUCUGCUCUUGAGAAGCUCCCUAGAAGCUAGUCCACUCCUGUGGCUCAAAGAGCACACUUCAUCUCUUCCACGGGCCACAUUGCCGCCUUCCUUAUGAGGCCCACGUAAUACAGACAAGCUGGAUGGAUGGCAGAAAGUAUCUCAUUGAAAUUAGGGAGUCUAACAUAAAUUCCAUGAUUUUUGUGCCAGAUUUUGUAUCAACUCUUUAUAUUCAUGUCUAGAAAUUAAAAUCCAGAUAAGAAUAUUAUUUCUCAAGAGGAAACUUUAACCACUGUGUAUAAGAAGAUGCUUCUCGCCAUAGUCUGUGGGACUGUGGUCAUUGCCAUCUAUGGCCAACUAGUGGCGAAAGUUCCCAUGCAUAGUGACUACACGGGUGGGACUGAUGUGCUUCUGAGCCUUCUGAGAUCCUUCCCAUAGACAGUUUCCUAGGAAAUUACAUGCAUGUAAUUCCCAGUGAUAGAUAUUUCUUAAUGGUGGAACACUGCAAGUCCUUAGUUGAUGCAUAUGGGGAGAAGGACUACCUUUUCUUCCCAUUUGACUUUUCUGUGUGAACUGAAUCUAAAUGAAUCUGAAUUUUAAUAAUUCAAAGAAACUAUUUUUGCCCACAUUUUGAAAACAAUUAACUGCCAAGGAAAACCUAACAGCAUAUUCCUUCAUUGUACCAAAUCAAUAAAAGUUGUAUGCAGGAAGCAUUGGCUUUAAUUAAGCUGAUCUUAUAUGCAAAUGUGCAUAUCCUCAAUUAAAGUCAUGUUGUACAUAUUAAAAACUUUCUCUCCCGUCUAUGCCACAUUCAGGAAAUCUAGCUGCAUUGACCUUAAGUAACUUUCCUCCUUGAGUUUUGUAUUGUUUUGGUUUGGGGUUUUUGUUUUGUUUUGUUUUGUUUUGUUUUUGUUGUUGGUUUUGUUUUGUUUUCUUUUCUUUUCUUUUGUUUGCUUUUUUGCUUUUUGUCAUUCCCAGCUACUAGUACCUCCAAAGAAAACAACUUUAUUUCCUUUAUCUUUGUGUGGAUCUGAACUUUUUCCCAGCUGCUGCUAUU